UACAGCUUAAAAAACCAGACACUCUUUUUAUCUGCUCUAUCUAGAACACAUUUCUUUGUGUAAAUUUCACAAGAACGUUGACCUAAUUUUACUUCUUUCACGUGUAUCGCUGUGGAAAUAUUGACACUAUGUUUUGUGUGAAGCUCCUUGGUUUGCUUGUUGCGGCAUUAUUACUUAUUCCUGAAAGCUAUGCUACAUACGAUAAAAUGGAAUGUCACGAAUGUGACAGAAUGGCAGAUCACUGUGCUUUUCGUUGUCAAUGGCAACCGACAUACGCUAAAUUCUUUUACUGUGACGACCAUUGCACGCGACGAAACUUAGCUUGCCAAUCCCGUUGUAUCAGGAGAGACGGUCAGCCAGUACUUGUACGAAACGUGCCAAUUGCCAGGAAAAUCGGAGGUUCAUCGGUACCGAAGCAGCCAAUACGAAUUAAGGAGCAAGAUAUUCAACAGUACUAUCAGCAUGGAAAAUAAACAGACUAUCGUUGACGUAAAAAAAGAAAUAGAAAGAGGGACCAAUCAUUUAACGAACCCAACCUUAUUUAACAUAUCUAACAUUUUCAAACAUCACAGUAUGAAAAGGAGUAUUGGAAUUUUUUAAUAAAGCAAUGCACACUUUUGUUUUAUAA